rnacentral:rRNA from 1 species
AUUGAACGCUGGCGGCAUGCCUUACACAUGCAAGUCGAACGGUAACGGGCCUUCGGGUGCCGACGAGUGGCGAACGGGUGAGUAAUGUAUCGGAACGUACCUUUCAGUGGGGGAUAACGUAGCGAAAGUUACGCUAAUACCGCAUAUUCUGUGAGCAGGAAGGCAGGGGAUCGCAAGACCUUGCGCUGAUUGAGCGGCCGAUGUCAGACUAGCUAGUUGGUGAGGUAAAGGCUCACCAAGGCGACGAUCUGUAGCGGGUCUGAGAGGAUGAUCCGCCACACUGGAACUGAGACACGGUCCAGACUCCUACGGGAGGCAGCAGUGGGGAAUUUUGGACAAUGGGGGCAACCCUGAUCCAGCCAUGCCGCGUGAGUGAAGAAGGCCUUCGGGUUGUAAAGCUCUUUCGGCCGGGAAGAAAUCGUAUCAGCUAAUACCUGGUGCGGAUGACGGUACCGGCAUAAGAAGCACCGGCUAACUACGUGCCAGCCGCCGCGGUAACAC